rnacentral:rRNA from 1 species
AUGAACGCUGGCGGCGUGCCUAAUACAUGCAAGUCGAGCGAACGGACGAGAAGCUUGCUUCUCUGAUGUUAGCGGCGGACGGGUGAGUAACACGUGGAUAACCUACCUAUAAGACUGGGAUAACUUCGGGAAACCGUAGCUAAUACCGGAUAAUAUUUUGAACCGCAUGGUUCAAAAGUGAAAGACGGUCUUGCUGUCACUUAUAGAUGGAUCCGCGCUGCAUUAGCUAGUUGGUAAGGUAACGGCUUACCAAGGCAACGAUGCAUAGCCGACCUGAGAGGGUGAUCGGCCGCACUGGAACUGAGACACGGUCCAGACUCCUACGGGAGGCAGCAGUAGGGAAUCUUCCGCAAUGGGCGAAAGCCUGACGGAGCAACGCCGCGUGAGUGAUGAAGGUCUUCGGAUCGUAAAACUCUGUUAUUAGGGAAGAACAUAUGUGUAAGUAACUGUGCACAUCUUGACGGUACCUAAUCAGAAAGCCACGGCUAACUACGUG